rnacentral:rRNA from 1 species
CCUGGUUGAUCCUGCCAGUAACAUAUGCUUGUCUCAAAGAUUAAGCCAUGCAGGUGUAAGUGCACACGGCCGGUACAGUGAAACUGCGAAUGGCUCAUUAAAUCAGUUAUGGUUCCUUUGAUCGCUCCACACGUUACUCGGAUAACUGUGGUAAUUCCAGAGCUAAUACAUGCAAACGAGCGCUGACCCCUCGGGGGAUGCGUGCAUUUAUCAGACCCAAAACCCAUCCGGGGGGCUCGGGCCCCCCGGCCGCUUUGGUGACUCUAGAUAACCUCGGGCCGAUCGCGCGCCCUCCGCGGCGGCGACGUCUCAUUCGAAUGUCUGCCCUAUCAACUUUCGAUGGUACUAUAGGCGCCUACCAUGGUGACCACGGGUAACGGGGAAUCAGGGUUCGAUUCCGGAGAGGGAGCCUGAGAAACGGCUACCACAUCCAAGGAAGGCAGCAGGCGCGCAAAUUACCCAUUCCCGACACGGGGAGGUAGUGACGAAAAAUAACGAUACAGGUCUCUUUCGAGGCCCUGUAAUCGGAAUGAGCGUAUCCUAAACCCAUGGGUGAGGACCCAUUGGAGGGCAAGUCUGGUGCCAGCAGCCGCGGUAAUUCCAGCUCCAAUAGCGUAUAUUAAAGUUGCUGCAGUUAAAAGCUCGUAGUUGGAUCUCGGGAGUGGGCUGGCGGUCCGCCGCGAGGCGAGCCACCGCCUGUCCCAGACCCUGCCUCCCGGCGCCCCCCGGAUGCCCUUGGCUGGGUGUCCGGUCGGGGUCCGGAGCGUUUACUUUGAAAAAAUUAGAGUGUUCAAAGCGGGCCACUACUCGCCUGAAUACCUGAGCUAGGAAUAAUGGAAUAGGACUCCGGUUCUAUUUUGUGGGUUUCCGGAACCAGGGCCAUGAUUAAGAGGGACGGCCGGGGGCAUUCGUAUUGCGCCGCUAGAGGUGAAAUUCUUGGACCGGCGCAAGACGGACGAAAGCGAAAGCAUUUGCCAAGAAUGUUUUCAUUAAUCAAGAACGAAAGUCGGAGGUUCGAAGACGAUCAGAUACCGUCGUAGUUCCGACCGUAAACCAUGCCGACCCGCGANNNNNNNUUCAGCCACGCGAGAUGGAGCAAUAACAGGUCUGUGAUGCCCUUAGAUGUCCGGGGCUGCACGCGCGCCACAAUGGUUGGAUCAGCGUGUGCCUACCCUACGCCGAGAGGCGCGGGUAAUCCGCUGAACCUCAUUCGUGAUUGGGACUGGGGAUUGCAAUUAUUCCCCAUGAACGAGNNNNNNNNGGGUAGCGCUGCCCGGCGCGCCUCCUCCCCCCUCUACCGACGUCUCCGCGGGCCCAGGCCCGGAGGGCCCCCCUCCGAAGCCUGACGUCCGCGCGAAACGUUCAAAAAACUCGGUGCCUUCUCCCUCCGCCCGGGGGGGGUCGGCGAUGCCGGUUUCCUCCCGUCAGGGAGGUUUUCCUAACCAUGUUGUCCCUGUCGUCGCGCUCUCUCCCCUUCCAAGGAGAGAGCCGGUGGCGACCAUCCGUUCUCCUUCUCUCUCCACCCCCUUAACCCACCUGCGGGUGGGCGGGCGGGCGGUUUGGGUCGGGGACAAGCGACGGGUACCUAAAGGCUCGACCGCGUUACGCGAGGUCCCUCUCUCUCCCCCCGGGAGGAGAGGGGCGAGGGCGGGCGCGCGCGGCCAGCGGUUUAAUGACCACAGUCCGCGGAGGGAGACGAGGCCUGCGGGCCCCCCGUCUUACCGCGCGGCAG